rnacentral:rRNA from 1 species
UACCUGUCAGCUUUGAGUGAGCGACCGGUUGGAAACAACCGAAAACAGUAACAGGAAUUGAACUGAAGAGUUUGAUCCUGGCUCAGAUUGAACGCUGGCGGCAUGCCUUACACAUGCAAGUCGAACGGCAGCACGGGCUUCGGCCUGGUGGCGAGUGGCGAACGGGUGAGUAAUACAUCGGAACAUGUCCUGUAGUGGGGGAUAGCCCGGCGAAAGCCGGAUUAAUACCGCAUGCGAUCUAAGGAUGAAAGCGGGGGACCUUCGGGCCUCGCGCUAUAGGGUUGGCCGAUGGCUGAUUAGCUAGUUGGUGGGGUAAAGGCCUACCAAGGCGACGAUCAGUAGCUGGUCUGAGAGGACGACCAGCCACACUGGGACUGAGACACGGCCCAGACUCCUACGGGAGGCAGCAGUGGGGAAUUUUGGACAAUGGGCGCAAGCCUGAUCCAGCAAUGCCGCGUGUGUGAAGAAGGCCUUCGGGUUGUAAAGCACUUUUGUCCGGAAAGAAAUCAUUCUGGCUAAUACCCGGAGUGGAUGACGGUACCGGA